CAUUACCUGAAAGAAUAUAUCUGGAUUAAAAUUUGAGAAGCCUGGUAAUAUUGUUCUGUUGGCUCACACGCCCAAUCAUCUGGUGCCUACUGUAGUGAAUACACCAGAUAUUGGGGCAUUCAUCUUGGGUUGGAGAUUGUCAAAUUCGGAAUGGGCCUGGUCUGAAACUUGACAAAAAAAAUGAACUAGAAGUCAUGUCUAGUAGUGAGCUAGAAGGCAUAUAGCUUUUAUUAUUGAAUCACAGCAAGUAUUAUAAGUUAUAACCAUACCAUACUGUGAAUUUAAGAACUAAGAACCAGGAAUUCUUCAGAAAUUUCGACGAAUAGAUUAUAAUUUAUAGUGGAACUCAAUUUUAAGUACCUGCUCCUUUUUUGGUUACUUUAUGAGGCAACAGUAGUGAGUCCAAAGGCAUGAUUACUCACAGUUAAAGUUGUGAGGCUGUGGUUAUUGGAUAGAAUCCUCUGAGGCGCUGCGAGUCACUGCAUCGCUCAUGUUUGCAUCUAACCUUGUUAUUGCUGUUAUGAGCUUUUACAGUUCAGGCUACUAUUGUUCCCUCUAGGUGUAAAGUUUGGUCUUUCAGGCACAAGAACCUUUCUUUGUUUUGUUGCUCGAAGAGAUGAGAUAAGAAAAAAGGGGAUUAUCUUGUACUUUUUGCAAUCCUUGGUUCCCUUUGGAAUGUGAGGCUAAGAUAUUCUAUAUGAUUCAUGGUCACCAGCCAUGACUGCUAGUUCCAUCUGUAUCAGCAUUCUCUCCAUGUUAUCGAGUUCCACU